GACCCGGCCGGGAGGGGAGUGUGGGGACAGGACAGCCCCGGCCGGGAGGGGAGUGCGGGGACAGGACAGCCCCGGCCGGGAGGGGAGUGCGGGGACAGGACAGCCCCGGCCGGGAGGGGAGUGUUGGGACAGGACAGCCCCGGCCGGGAGGGGAGUGUUGGGACAGGACAGCCCCGGCCGUGAGGGGAGUGCGGGGACAGGACAGCCCCGGCCGGGAGGGGAGUGUUGGGACAGGACAGCCCCGGCCGUGAGGGGAGUGCGGGGACAGGACAGCCCCGGCCGGGAGGGGAGUGCGGGGACCCGGGAGCCCCGGCCGGGAGGGGAGUGCGGGGACAGGGGAGCCCCGGCCGGGAGGGGAGUGGGGGGACAGGACAGCCCCGGCCGGGAGGGGAGUGGGGGGACAGGACAGCCCCGGCCGGGAGGGGAGUGUGGGGACAGGGGAGCCCCGGCCGGGAGAGAAGUGUGGGGACAGGACAGCCCCGGCCGUGAGGGGAGCGCGGGGGAAGCCAGUGAGCCCCAAGGAGCCCGGCCGUGCGGGGAGUUCCCGUGAACCCCGGAGAUAGGGGCUGUGACCUGUCGUGGCAGUGGAGCACACGACAGCCGCCCUGCUGCUCCAGAGGGGAUGACAGCUUCUGACCCAUCCAGCAGCAACUGAGCGGCCAUCCUGGACAGAGAGCCAGUCCUGCUCCACUGGGAAACCACUGAGCCGAAUCACACCUCCAAACUCUCCUUGGCUUAAACAGAGCUAAGUGCAUCCCUCUGCCUGCCCUCCCUCUGCAGUCCUGGCGAGACAAGGCUGAAGUCACAGCCCUUGGUGGUGGUGGCUCUCCUACAUGACAGAACAUUUCUGCUCGGCCGCCUGCUUCAUUUCAGUGAAGGUGGCUUGUGCCUUCUCUUUGAUCUGAUCCAUGUCCAUGUUCUGGAUGUUCUGCAGCUGCCCCAGGAUGGAGUCCUUGUCUUCUUCCUCCUCCUGAUCUUGUGCCACCAUCUUCUGCAGGUCUUCUGGCAAACCCACGUCAUCCCCAGCCAUCUGUAUUUGAUUCUCAUCCAGUUCACUCUGAUGCAAAAAGCAGAAAAUAAAAACAGCACAUGAGAGUACUUCUGCUCUCCCAGGAUCUACA